GAGUGUAUAAUAAUCCUUCAAACAUAUGAAAAACUACGAAAAACUGAACAUAUUAGUGUUCGAUACAUAUGACACACCAUAUAAUAACAAAAAGAACACUAGAAUUCAGAUAUAAAGCAAAGUGCAGGAGGGUUAAAAGCAACAUAUAUAGUACCUAUAUACACUAAAAACUGUGACUGUCUUCAUUAUAGGAGGCAAAACUGAGUGAAAGACUGUUACUAGUAACUAAGGGCUCCUUUGGUUUGCCAUUGCAUACCAGUGAGGUGCGGUUGGGGGGGGGGGGAAUGGCAGCAACCGCACUGGUCAGCCCUUUGGUUCAGCAUGCCAGUCCGGUGAGAAGCAGCCUCCACCACGCUGGUCAGCCCCAAAUCAACUGGAGAUUGUUGGUCCGAUUUCAACUAUUGCUGGUGAAUUGAGAUACACCGAUGCCAUGAAACUGCUGUAUACCUUAGAGGACGCAACCAAAGGUGUAUCCAUCGCCUAGUGAGCAGUCAGCAGCUGACGGUGCUCAAAAGCAAAAGCUGGAUGAUGCCGACAAAAAAAUUGGAAGAAGCAGAUGAGUUGUGCCGAACGCGGGAGGAGAAAGAGGACAGUUCAUGUACUGCCUCAGAAAUGUUCUUUGAGCUAUUGAUGUAUAAACAUUUUCUUUCUUUGAGCUAAAUGCUAUUUGUUGUUUACUUAUAAGUGAUCUUUGAGCUGUUACCAGUAGUAAUUUAGAUUCUUGGUCUCCAAAAUGUUGGUGUAUAAACAAUCAUGAGAAGGAAAAUGUUCGUUUUGCAGCCAAAAGAAAUUUCAUGGUUUUUAUGUUUAUUGAUUGUAGGCUGUCAGAAA